GACGAACGCUGGCGGCGUGCCUAAUACAUGCAAGUAGAACGCUGAAGCCAGGAGCUUGCGCUUCGUGGGUGAGUUGCGCACGUGUGAGUAACGCGUAUGUACCCUGCCUUGUAGCGGGGGAUAACUAUUGGAAACGAUCGCUAAUACCGCAUAACAUUGGGUUACACAUGUCGGUUAUUUGAAAGUGGCAAGUGCUCGACUACAAGACGGACCUUCGUUGUAUUAGCUAGUAGGUGAGGUAAUGGCUCACAUAGGCGACGAUACAUAGCCGACCUGAGAGGGUGAGCGGCCACACUGGGAGUGAGACACGGCACAGAGUCAUACGGGAGGCAGCAGUAGGGAAUCGUCGGCAAUGGGGGCAACACUGAGCGAGCAACGCGGCGUGAGUGAAGAGGGUUGUCGGAUCGUAAAGCUCUGUUGUAAGUCAAGAACGGGUGUGAGAGUGGAAAGUUCACACUGUGACGGUAGCUUAUCAGAAAGGGACGGCUAACUACGUG
rnacentral:rRNA from 1 species